AUUGAACGCUGGCGGCAUGCCUUACACAUGCAAGUCGAACGGUAACAGGUCUUCGGACGCUGACGUGUGGCGAACGGGUGAGUAAUACAUCGGAACGUGCCCAGUCGUGGGGGAUAACUACUCGAAAGAGUAGCUAAUACCGCAUACGAUCUGAGGAUGAAAGCGGGGGACCUUCGGGCCUAGCGCGAUUGGAGCGGCCGAUGGCAGAUUAGGUAGUUGGUGGGAUAAAAGCUUACCAAGCCGACGAUCUGGAGCUGGUCUGAGAGGACGACCAGCCACACUGGGACUGAGACACGGCCCAGACUCCUACGGGAGGCAGCAGUGGGGAAUUUUGGACAAUGGGCGAAAGCCUGAUCCAGCAAUGCCGCGUGCAGGAUGAAGGCCUUCGGGUUGUAAACUGCUUUUGUACGGAACGAAAAAGUCUCCUCUAAUACAGGAGGCCCAUGACGGUACCGUAAGAAUAAGCACCGGCUAACUACGUGCCAGCAGCCGCCGUAA
rnacentral:rRNA from 1 species